UUAAAGCCUAUCUUUGCACUUGUGAAUUCAUUACUAGUGAAACUGUCACAUCAGCCUGCACUCCCCAGAAGACAGAACAGCUGCUGUUUCUGUGGCUGUUACAGAAGUACAAAGUUCGAAAACAGGACAGAGAAAGUUGAGGAAGUCAGUGACACUCCUAAAACAGCAGUUACUGACUCAGCAAGCUGCUAUCUGAUGGGUCACACAGACAUGGUGUUAGUGUCCUGCAAAGCAGACACCAAAGAACAGCUACACUGGGAGUUACCAAGAGCUCUUACAAGACCGGAGCUGCCAUACUAGGAGAAAAACUGGUAGAUUUCCUUUCUGGAGGUGAAAGCGAGAUAUUUAAAUUUUUAAGUAUUUUCUGCAUUUGUCUCCAGAAGCAGAUCUUGAUGAGCUACUGCAGCAGAGCAUCUGAAAGUAAAGAUUUCAUCAAAUUAAACAAAAGAAUUAAGUACAAAAAGGAAAACACUCCUGGAGAUUGUGACUGCAGCUGAGUAAGAGCUUCUUGCACGGCUGAGUACUUCUGGAAGCCCACAAACACUUUUAGAAGACUUUUUUUUAUUUAUUGAAGAAAGAGAAAUAAACUUAAAGGACUGGAAGGUAGAUAGGUACACAAAAGAAUGUCUAAGAUGGCUAAAAAAGAAUUUGCAAGAAGCAAGGAAAAAGAACUUCUACAAGACAACAGCAUUAUGUAUUUAUCCUCUACUUGGUUUACAACAGAAGCCAGAAUUUGAAGGAAAAUGCAGUACUCACUUCAUUUGAUCUAAAACUCCUUCCUUGCAUGCCGUGUUUCCAGAACGCCAAUACACUGUCUUGUAGACAGACUGGUAACAAAGAACAUUGGAAUCAGUUUUAAGGCAUAACAUCAACUUGUGCUUUUAAGGCAAAAGCAUGACUGCAAUUUUGAAAUCUGUAAACGUAUGUUUCAUUGUAUCACAUUCAUCCACACAGACUGCAGAACAUCUCACAGCAAUCACUGAACCUGCUUCAAAUGUAGCUGCAUUUUAUUUGUUUAAUGACGAGGGUUUAAAAGUAUUUCCACCUAACCAGAAAAUGUUCUAGAUGUCUAGUUCUAAAUGUGUCUUUUCCUUUGAAAAGGAAACCCCUUUAAUACUUGCAGAAAAUAUAUAUUGAAUUUUAGCACAAGAGUUACAGGAAUGCUGCAAUGCCAUUUUUCACUUUCCUAGCAACUCUUGGCUAAUAUGGUCCUUCUGCAAUACCAACACAAAGCUUUACAGAGCCCUCUGCUUCCCAGCCCUUCCCACCAACGUGGUGACAGACUUGGAUUUGAACCCUACAAAGGAAGUAGGUCUAGGGCCUUCCUCAAAGAGAGGGCAAGUGUGUAGGACCCCAGGAAGAAUCUGUCCCCCUGCAUCUCGCAUUCUGCCUCUGGGUUUGCAGGAAAGAGAGCAGUAGUCUUUGGAGACUCUACCAGCACAAAAUAGGACACUGGUAGCUCAUUUGUGACAACCACAGUGAGGACUACAAUACAUGCAGAGCUCCCACAGUGAGCAGCUUCAAGUAAACAUACUCCUUCCUUCCCCCCAUUCCUAACCAUCAAAAGCCAUAAAAGUAAUAUUUUCCAUGACCAUGUUUUCUUGUCCUCUUCUCUGUGGGACAUUAUGUUUGAAGGGCCUGAAACUUUAAAGCUUCUCCUCAGAAAUAAACUCCCUCCAACUUCUUACUAUUUUAGCUCCCAUUGUUCCUCCUCUUCUGGUCCUACCCUCAACCUGUGCACACACCCCUCCUCACCUCUCUUUCAAAAGCAUGUGAUGCAAUGUAGGUAUGUAACCACUGGAGAACUGGCAAAAUAACUUAUUCUUUCUGUUUCACAAAUCUAAUUCAUUCAGAUCCUUCCCAAGGAGACAAAAUUUAUGUAACCUAUGACAUAUAAUUUAGUCUUUAAGCUACUUUAUAAAAAUGGACUGCAUAAACACACAUGCAAAAUGAGUUAGGCGGGAGUGAUUCAGAGUUUACAUAGGUUGUAUUAAGGUAUUCCUUUAAAGGCUGAAGGUCUCCAAGAUAUUUAGCUUAAUCAGGAUUAUUACUCCAUUCAAAGUGCUCCUAGGAAAGCACAUUACAUAGCAUGCUGAACCUUUCACUGGGCCUUCUCACACAAAGUGAAAUGAGUGAGAUAGUGUUUCAAAUGCCAAAGACUAGACAGUUAGCACCCUAAUUAUUACUGUCACAUUAAGCAAAUUAAUCAUACAACGUCUCGAGUUGGAAGGGACCAAUAAUGAUUACUGAGUCCAACUCCCUGCUCCACACAGAACUACAUAAAACUAAACCACAUGACUAAGAGCAUCGUCCAGAUGUUCCUUGAACUCUGACAGGCUUAGCGCUGGGAGCACUUCUCUGGGAAGCCCAUUCUAAUGAUUGACCACCUCUGAGUGAAAGGCAUUUUCCUAACAUCCAAUCUGAACUUCCCCAUAUGCAGCUACAUGUAAUUUCCACAUGUCUUAUUUCUGGUCACCAGAGAGGCAAGACCAGCACCAGCCCCUCCACCACCCCCCUUGAGGAAGCUGUAGACUGCAAUGUGAUCACCCCUGAGCCAUCUCUUCUCGAGGCUGAACAAACCGAGUGAUCUCAGGCUCUCCUCUCAAGUCUUGUCUUCAACACCUGUCACCAUCUGGGUCACCCUCCUCUGGACAUACUCUAAUAGUUUGACAUAAUUUUUAUAUUGUGGUGCCCAAAACUGCACAGUGGACUCAAGGUGAGGAUGCACCAGCACAGGGCAGAGUGGGACAAUCACCUCCCUUGACCAGGUAGAGAUGCUGAGCCUGAUGCACCCCAGGACACGGCUGGCCCUUUUGGCUGACUCAUCUUCAAACUGCCAUCAAUCCAAACCCCCAGACCUGAUCUCUUUCCACGGGGCUGCUCUCCAGCCUCUUAUCUGCCAACGUUUGUACAUACAACCAGGAUUACCUUAUCCCAGGUGUGGAAUCUACCACUUACUCUUGUUAAAUUUCACAUAGUUGGUGAUUGCCCAGCUCUACAGUCUACAUGGAUAUCUAAAACUAAUAAUGAAAUCCAACUUACCUAUUGAUUCAAUCUGAAAGUCAAAUGUGAGCUCUGAUGACAGUUUGCGGCUGGAUUUUAACCUGCCUUGCAGAUUCACUAUUUUUAUGCAGCCUAGACAAUAAAUAAGGGUAUGUUAACCAAGAAUUAUCUUCAAUAUAUGACCUAAUUUAAAGACAGACAGUAUGCAUGUACAUGCAUACACAUAUAUUUAGCUGAUACUAAAACUUACAAUCCAAACACACCAAAAUGGUAUCUCUCUCCAGCUGUGUUACAUGUACAACACUUGUCUCUGUAGUGUCUAUAAAAAAAUGACAGUGUUAGUUCAUAACAUAAAUUAGCAUGAAAUCUGAAAUGCAAGUUCUAGAAAUUGAGACAAUUUGAUGGGUUAGUGGUUUUAUCUACUUAAAAUUCUCAUCUUACCAGUGACAUUUCUCUUCUCUUAGGCAUGUCCACUUAUCUAACAUGUUGACUGUGACAGGAAACUGAAGCUAAAAUAUUAAAGUAUGGAUUUAAUCCAGCCUUUUCUGAGCCAUGUCAGAGAAGCAAAUUCCCAUGUACAUUGUUCUCCCUUCAUUCUCUGUUGGUGUAAUUUAAUAUUGCUAUUACAAAAAAGGGCAGAUAUAUGUGACUGUGUGACUACACACACUAUGCUGUUUCAUUGCACUUUUCUUCUGUUUAUUUCUAAAUCCUGCUACAGACUUACAUAUUACUACUUAAUUCUUGCUGCUAUUUGCAGACUUUCCAUACUCAGAUCUUCCCAAAAUAGCAGAUUAUUUUCUUAUCAAAACUCUUAAAGGAAGGGUUAUUUUCUGCUUUUCUGGGUUACAGCUGCAGCGGUCUCCAUCACAGCCAACAGGGAUUUGAUCCACAAGUGGACAUUUCAACUCAAAAGAGAAGUGUAGUUUUGUUCCAUUUGUUUGUUAACAUUAAAAUUACACAUAAAGCAGCUCUAAUUCAACAUUACUGCCAGUGAUUCUGUAGGCAUCUUUCACACAGAAAAGAGAAACUCAGUAAAUCCAUUAGAGAUGAGAAAUUAGAGCAUGUUACCUAAAAUACAAAAGCAGCUCUCGGUUAAAUUAUAAAAUCCAUGGUUCUGCUGAGAAGCAAAAAAACUCCUCAACAAUGGCAGAAAUGUGCUCAUGAGAUGGUCCCUCCAUCUCUUUUUUGCUGUUUGGCUUGGAAGGUAGAUGCAGCCACAAUGAAAGCGUGCAACAGAAAGACUGGAGGAUAAACAUCUCUGCAACCACAAAUGCGAUAUGGAAACAUGCACUGCACUGGCUGAAGGAUGUCAGGGGAGAAAACCCCCAGUAAGUCUCUGCCAGCUAAUUUUUUUAAAAUAUCUUGGUCAGACAUUUACAAAAUAAUGUCAAAUGUCAAAUGAUAAAAACUACUAUUUGAUGGAAACUAUUUGAGACCAUAUAACAGGUUGCACAGAGGUGUGGAUGCCCCAUCCCUGGAAUUGCUCAAGGCCAGGCUGAAUGGAGCUCUGAGCAACCUGGUCUAGUGGAAGGCGUCUCUGCCUACAGCAGGGGGGUUGGAAGUAGAUGAUCUUUAAGGUCUCCCUUCCAACCCAAAUGUUUCUGUGAUUCUGUAUAGUACACACUUUCCUCACUCAAAAAAAUAAUAAAAAAAAAAUCUCUUUGAUUGCAUUAUCACUCUUCUGCCAGCAGGGGACAGGAAUAAAUCAAUCCAACAAAAGGAUUUAAACUGGAGCCAAAGAAAUAGGAGAAAACAAGAACAGACACAACACAAAAACACACAAGUGAUUCAAGGAAAUUUAAAAAGUGGGUUUGGAAGGCACAAUGCAAUGCUAAAUUUCCCACAUUACAAAAAAACCAAACUGGGAAGGGAUUAUUAGUAUUCCUGUACAAUAUUGAGAGACAAAUGACAACAAGACAUUUUUCUUCACCAUGUUAUUUUAUGGACUCUAGUAUAAAGCCACAUAGCUACAUGAGUGUGUGAAAAUAAAAUGCACUGUCUGAAGUCGUUAAACAUUAAUUGGCCAUCCACUGCUCACUUUGUUUUUUUGUAACUCUGCCUUAAACUGUGUCAAAAUCUGAUGCUCUUUUCAGCAGCAGGAAAGUCAGUGAGUAUCUUCCUGGUAGAAACUGCUGUUCUUAAUGAAUUCUGCAGUAGACACUCAGCUGGACUCAUACCUGUAUAUGCCAGCACAGGGCUACGUAUAAAUUCAUCAUGAAUAGACAAGGAAUCUAUGUCUGGUAAAAACAAAGCUUCUAAACCUGCAGGAUAUGACUAGGGCUGGUUCACUACUGCAUCUAGGUUCAAGGGACAAUCGUGCAACUCUAAAAAGGCCAUUCUUAGCACACUUUCUAAAGAGAAUUUCUGCUGUUGCUCAGACAGUGGCCUCCUCACUCAUGACGCCCAGACUGGUGACGGGGCAGAUAUCUGGUUUCCUGCUACCAGUUCUCGUAAUCCCUUUUGCUUUCCAUAAACAUCAGAAGAAUGCUUUAUCUCAGCAGGAGGCUGAUAACACCACUCCUAACCACAGUGGCAUAUUAUAGGAGAGCCAAACCACACCUUACAGAGAUGUUGAAAGAAAUUGCUCAGAACGCAAUUCUACUAAAAUCUAUUAAAUAAACAGAAGUCAUGGUGCCAGGGUAGAGCACAGAACAGCACAGUGGGUAAUUUAUAGAUAUGCAAGAAACUGUAACUCUGUCCUCUGCUAUAUCAAAAAUCUCAAGAAAUCCAAUCAGUUUAACAAGUAGAAACAUCAAAAAAAGUGCAGGUACAAGCAGGUACAACCAGAUACUCCUUUAAACUUACAAUGAUGACUUAGUCUUAAUGAUUUAACCAUU